GCUGAUGAUUGCUCAAGAGAAUACAAAUGCUCAAAGUGCUUUAGGAAGCAGAGGAAAGUCGAAUGAGGAGCUGGUUUCACGCACUGACAUCUCCCCAGGAGCACAGCUGAGUCCAACAUGUUCCCAGCAGCCAUCCACCCAAACGCCUCCCACUCGAGCACCCAGACCUUCCUUCCCAGUAAAUAAAAAAUACAGAGACAGC